CUUGAACGCUGGCGGCAGGCUUAACACAUGCAAGUCGAACGAGUGGCGGACGGGUGAGUAAUGUCUGGGAAACUGCCUGAUGGAGGGGGAUAACUACUGGACACGGUAGCUAAUACCGCAUACCAUCAGAUGUGCCCAUAUGGGAUUAGCUAGUUGGUGGGGUAAAGGCUCACCUAGGCAACGAUCCCUAGCUGGUCUGAGAGGAGGACCAGCCACACUGGAACGGAGACACGGGCCUGACUCCUAAGGGAGGCAGCAGUGGGGAAGUUUGUACAAUGGGCGAAAGCCUGAUGCAGCCAUGCCGCGUGUAUGAAGAAGGCCUUCGGGUUGUAAAGUACUUUCAGCGGAGAGGCGUUAUCCGCAGAAGAAGCACCGGCUAACUCCGUGCCAGCAGCCGCGGUAAUAC
rnacentral:rRNA from 1 species